UACGUAGGGGGCAAGCGUUGUCCGGAUUUAUUGGGCGUAAAGAGCGUGUAGGCGGUUUGGUAGGUCCGCUGUGAAAACUCGAGGCUCAACCUCGAGACGUCGGUUGAAACCGCUUGGCUAGAGUCCGGAAGAGGAGAGUGGAAUUCCCGGUGUAGCGGUGAAAUGCGUAGAUAUCGGAAGGAACACCAGUGGCGAAAGCGGCUUCCUGGUCCAGCACCGACGUCAGGCACGAAAGCGUGGGGAGCAAACAGG
rnacentral:rRNA from 1 species